rnacentral:rRNA from 1 species
GACAGAGGGUGCAAACGUUGCUCGGAAUUACUGGGCGUAAAGCGCGUGUAGGCGGACCGAUAAGUCAGGCGUGAAAUCCCCGAGCUCAACUCGGGAACUGCACCUGAAACUGCCGGUCUAGAGUGAUGGAGAGGGUAGCGGAAUUCCUGGUGUAGAAGUGAAAUUCGUAGAUAUCAGGAGGAACACCGGUGGCGAAGGCGACUACCUGGACAUUAACUGACGCUGAGACGCGAAAGCGUGGGGAGCAAACAGG